rnacentral:rRNA from 1 species
GAACUCGGCAAAUUACCCCCGUAACUUCGGGAGAAGGGGGGCCACAGACCGUGAAACCCCAUGCGGGUGGCAGCGGUAGGUGGCCGCAGAGACCAGGGGGAAGCGACUGUUUACUAAAAACACAGGUCCGUGCGAAGUCGUAAGACGAUGUAUACGGACUGACGCCUGCCCGGUGCUGGAACGUUAAGGGGACCGGUUAGUCCGCAAGGGCGAAGCUGAGAACUUAAGCGCCAGUAAACGGCGGUGGUAACUAUACCAUCCUAAGGUAGCGAAAUUCCUUGUCGGGUAAGUUCCGACCUGCACGAAUGGCGUAACGACUUCCCUACUGUCUCAACCACAGGCCCGGCGAAAUUGCACUACGAGUAAAGAUGCUCGUUACGCGCGGAAGGACGGAAAGACCCCGGGACCUUCACUAUAGCUUGACAUUGGUACUCGAAUUGAAUUGUGUAGGAUAGGUGGGAGACUAUGAAGCUCGGACGCCAGUCCGGGUGGAGUCAACGUUGAAAUACCACUCUGUUGAAUUUGGGUAUCUAACUUCGGACCGUGAUCCGGUUCAGGGACAGUGUCUGGUGGGUAGUUUAACUGGGGCGGUUGCCUCCUAAAACGUAACGGAGGCGCCCAAAGGUUCCCUCAGCCUGGUUGGCAAUCAGGUGUUGAGUGCAAGUGCACAAGGGAGCUUGACUGUGAGACUGACAGGUCGAGCAGGGACGAAAGUCGGGACUAGUGAUCCGGCACCGGCGAGUGGAAGCGGUGUCGCUCAACGGAUAAAAGGUACCCCGGGGAUAACAGGCUGAUCUUCCCCAAAAGUCCAUAUCGACGGGAUGGUUUGGCACCUCGAUGUCGGCUCGUCGCAUCCUGGGGCUGGAGUAGGGCCAAGGGUUGGGCUGUUCGCCCAUUAAAGCGGCACGCGAGCUGGGUUUAGAACGUCGUGAGACAGUUCGGUCCCUAUCCUCCGCGCGCGCAGGAGACUUGAGAAGAGCUGUCCCUAGUACGAGAGGACCGGGACGGACGAACCUCUGGUGUGCCAGUUGUCAUGCCAAUGGCACGGCUGGUUAGCUACGUUCGGAAGGGAUAACCGCUGAAAGCAUCUGAGCGGGAAGCCUGCUUCAAGAUGAGGUCUCCCACCCCCUCGAGGGUUAAGGCCCCCAGCAAGACCACUGGGUUGAUAGGCCAGAAGUGUAAGCCUGGUAACAGGUUCAGCCGACUGGUACUAAUAGGCCGAGGACUUCACCA